rnacentral:rRNA from 1 species
GGCGGACGGGUGAGUAACACGUGGGAACGUGCCUUUAGGUUCGGAAUAGCUCCUGGAAACGGGUGGUAAUGCCGAAUGUGCCCUUCGGGGGAAAGAUUUAUCGCCUUUAGAGCGGCCCGCGUCUGAUUAGCUAGUUGGUGAGGUAACGGCUCACCAAGGCGACGAUCAGUAGCUGGUCUGAGAGGAUGACCAGCCACACUGGGACUGAGACACGGCCCAGACUCCUACGGGAGGCAGCAGUGGGGAAUCUUGCGCAAUGGGCGAAAGCCUGACGCAGCCAUGCCGCGUGAAUGAUGAAGGUCUUAGGAUUGUAAAAUUCUUUCACCGGGGACGAUAAUGACGGUACCCGGAGAAGAAGCCCCGGCUAACUUCGUGCCAGCAGCCGCGGUAAUACGAAGGGGGCUAGCGUUGCUCGGAAUUACUGGGCGUAAAGGGCGCGUAGGCGGAUCGUUAAGUCAGAGGUGAAAUCCCAGGGCUCAACCCUGGAACUGCCUUUGAUACUGGCGAUCUUGAGUAUGAGAGAGGUAUGUGGAACUCCGAGUGUAGAGGUG